rnacentral:rRNA from 1 species
AUAUCAAUAAGCGGAGGAAAAGAAACUAACAAGGAUUCCCCUAGUAACGGCGAGUGAAGCGGCAACAGCUCAAAUUUGAAAUCUGGCUCUUUUAGGGUCCGAGUUGUAAUUUGUAGAGGGUGCUUCGGCGUUGGCCCCGGCCUAAGUUCCUUGGAAUAGGAUGUCACAGAGGGUGAGAACCCCGUACGUGGCUGCUGGUCUUCGCCAUGUGAAGCCCCUUCGACGAGUCGAGUUGUUUGGGAAUGCAGCUCUAAAUGGGAGGUAAAUUUCUUCUAAAGCUAAAUAUUGGCCAGAGACCGAUAGCGCACAAGUA